ACUUUAAAUUUAAUCUAUUUCCCGCGAGAAUAAGUCGCGCGUAUCUCAGUACGCAUGCGAACUAGAACAUAAACACAUUUAAAAAACUUGUCGUGUCUUUAAAAAAAACAGUCGACGUAAAUAAUAAAAUUAAUUAUUAUUCUUACAUCAUUAAUUUAUUAUAUUUAAAUUAAUGAACUAAUUUGAGUGCUAAUUAAAUUAAUCGUAGCAAGGAUAUUAAGAUGAGAACCUAAAUAGCUACAUUAGUUGCUGUUUUGUCGACAUUCUAACCUAAUUUCAUUUGUCAAAAUAUAUAUCAAUUGAAUGUAUUUACAAUAAGACCGCAAUCAGCACAAAAUAAGUCAGAUGGUGAUCAAUAGAUGUACGUUAAUUUUUACAUUGAUCAUUAUUAAUUCUAAAUCAUGAAUUUAAUAUGAUUUACUUAAUGAACUAGCUUGAAUCCUAAUUAAAUUGCUAGUGACAAUAUUAUAAUUAAUAUGAGAACUGGAAAAGCAACAGAAGCCACAGUUCUGUCAACGAUUUAACCAAAUUUUAUUUGUGAACUUAUUCAAAAAAUGACAGGAGUAAGAAUGGGAAAAAAUGAAUUCUUAAUCAAUGGAUAUUUGUUCUAAAUGUACGUCAAUUCGUACGUUGCCCACCAAAUUAACGGAAUUUCUACCGAUGGCGCAAGAAAGAUGAAUCGAAGAAAACGCAUUUGAAGAUUCUCUAAUUGUCGCAGUGAUAUGAAAGUGUUCAUUCAUAGAGCAUGAACACAUGCAAGUGCAAUUUAAAAAGAGAGAUUUUAUUUCUGCGUAAUUGGUUUUAAAUUUAUCCUUUCAAGAUAAAAUAAAUCUCUUUGAAUUUAACUCACGUGUCAAAUAUUAUUUUAGUUAUUAUAAUUAUAUUAUUAUCAAGUCAAAUGAAACAUAUUUGGCGGUGUAGACUUAUUACAAUAAUGUAAUUAAAAUCGAGAAGUGACGUCGACGAAUAAUGAGUUCACUAUGCAAAUGACAAAAAAAUACAUUUGCUUUUAAAUUAAAAAUACAUUUAUUUGUCAAUUGUUGUUACAUUUUUUCAAUAAAUGUAGAUAUCUAUCAUUUAUUAUUUA